rnacentral:rRNA from 1 species
GGGUUGUGAGGUUAAGCGACUAAGCGUACACGGUGGAUGCCCUGGCAGUCAGAGGCGAUGAAGGGCGUGCUAAUCUGCGAUAAGCGCCGGUAAGGUGAUAUGAACCGUUAUAACCGGCGAUACCCGAAUGGGGAAACCCAGUGUGACUCGUCACACUAUCAUUAACUGAAUCCAUAGGUUAAUGAGGCGAACCGGGGGAACUGAAACAUCUAAGUACCCCGAGGAAAAGAAAUCAACCGAGAUUCCCCCAGUAGCGGCGAGCGAACGGGGAGGAGCCCAGAGCCUGAAUCAGCAUGUGUGUUAGUGGAAGCGUCUGGAAAGGCGCGCGAUACAGGGUGACAGCCCCGUACACAAAAGCGCAUGUGCUGUGAGCUCGAUGAGUAGGGCGGGACACGUGGUAUCCUGUCUGAAUAUGGGGGGACCAUCCUCCAAGGCUAAAUACUCCUGACUGACCGAUAGUGAACCAGUACCGUGAGGGAAAGGCGAAAAGAACCCCGGCGAGGGGAGUGAAAAAGAACCUGAAACCGUGUACGUACAAGCAGUGGGAGCACAGGUUUACCUGUGUGACUGCGUACCUUUUGUAUAAUGGGUCAGCGACUUAUAUUCUGUAGCAAGGUUAACCGCAUAGGGGAGCCGGAGGGAAACCGAGUCUUAAUUGGGCGUUAAGUUGCAGGGUAUAGACCCGAAACCCGGUGAUCUAGCCAUGGGCAGGUUGAAGGUUGGGUAACACUAACUGGAGGACCGAACCGACUAAUGUUGAAAAAUUAGCGGAUGACCUGUGGCUGGGGGUGAAAGGCCAAUCAAACCGGGAGAUAGCUGGUUCUCCCCGAAAGCUAUUUAGGUAGCGCCUCGUGAAUUCAUCUCCGGGGGUAGAGCACUGUUUCGGCUAGGGGGCCAUCCCGGCUUACCAACCCGAUGCAAACUGCGAAUACCGGAGAAUGUUAUCACGGGAGACACACGGCGGGUGCUAACGUCCGUCGUGAAGAGGGAAACAACCCAGACCGCCAGCUAAGGUCCCAAAGUCAUGGUUAAGUGGGAAACGAUGUGGGAAGGCCCAGACAGCCAGGAUGUUGGCUUAGAAGCAGCCAUCAUUUAAAGAAAGCGUAAUAGCUCACUGGUCGAGUCGGCCUGCGCGGAAGAUGUAACGGGGCUAAACCAUGCACCGAAGCUGCGGCAGCGAACGUAUCACUUAAAGCGAUUCAGCGGGUUACGAUUGACGGAGCGAAGCGACGUCAAAGCGUAUACAAAGUCGAGUCGGUUUAAGGAUACGUUCGUUGGGUAGGGGAGCGUUCUGUAAGCCUGCGAAGGUGGCCUGUGAGGGUUGCUGGAGGUAUCAGAAGUGCGAAUGCUGACAUAAGUAACGAUAAAGCGGGUGAAAAGCCCGCUCGCCGGAAGACCAAGGGUUCCUGUCCAACGUUAAUCGGGGCAGGGUGAGUCGACCCCUAAGGCGAGGCCGAAAGGCGUAGUCGAUGGGAAACGGGUUAAUAUUCCCGUACUUGGUGUUACUGCGAAGGGGGGACGGAGAAGGCUAUGUUGGCCGGGCGACGGUUGUCCCGGUUUAAGCGUGUAGGUGUGUGUUCCAGGUAAAUCCGGUUCACUUUAACACUGAGGCGUGACGACGAGGCACUACGGUGCUGAAGCAACAAAUGCCCUGCUUCCAGGAAAAGCCUCUAAGCAUCAGGUAACAUCAAAUCGUACCCCAAACCGACACAGGUGGUCAGGUAGAGAAUACCAAGGCGCUUGAGAGAACUCGGGUGAAGGAACUAGGCAAAAUGGUGCCGUAACUUCGGGAGAAGGCACGCUGACACGUAGGUGAAGUGAUUUACUCAUGGAGCUGAAGUCAGUCGAAGAUACCAGCUGGCUGCAACUGUUUAUUAAAAACACAGCACUGUGCAAACACGAAAGUGGACGUAUACGGUGUGACGCCUGCCCGGUGCCGGAAGGUUAAUUGAUGGGGUCAGCGCAAGCGAAGCUCCUGAUCGAAGCCCCGGUAAACGGCGGCCGUAACUAUAACGGUCCUAAGGUAGCGAAAUUCCUUGUCGGGUAAGUUCCGACCUGCACGAAUGGCGUAAUGAUGGCCAGGCUGUCUCCACCCGAGACUCAGUGAAAUUGAACUCGCUGUGAAGAUGCAGUGUACCCGCGGCAAGACGGAAAGACCCCGUGAACCUUUACUAUAGCUUGACACUGAACAUUGAGCCUUGAUGUGUAGGAUAGGUGGGAGGCUUUGAAGUGUGGACGCCAGUCUGCAUGGAGCCGACCUUGAAAUACCACCCUUUAAUGUUUGAUGUUCUAACGUAGACCCGUGAUCCGGGUUGCGGACAGUGUCUGGUGGGUAGUUUGACUGGGGCGGUCUCCUCCUAAAGAGUAACGGAGGAGCACGAAGGUUGGCUAAUCCUGGUCGGACAUCAGGAGGUUAGUGCAAUGGCAUAAGCCAGCUUGACUGCGAGCGUGACGGCGCGAGCAGGUGCGAAAGCAGGUCAUAGUGAUCCGGUGGUUCUGAAUGGAAGGGCCAUCGCUCAACGGAUAAAAGGUACUCCGGGGAUAACAGGCUGAUACCGCCCAAGAGUUCAUAUCGACGGCGGUGUUUGGCACCUCGAUGUCGGCUCAUCACAUCCUGGGGCUGAAGUAGGUCCCAAGGGUAUGGCUGUUCGCCAUUUAAAGUGGUACGCGAGCUGGGUUUAGAACGUCGUGAGACAGUUCGGUCCCUAUCUGCCGUGGGCGCUGGAGAACUGAGGGGGGCUGCUCCUAGUACGAGAGGACCGGAGUGGACGCAUCACUGGUGUUCGGGUUGUCAUGCCAAUGGCACUGCCCGGUAGCUAAAUGCGGAAGAGAUAAGUGCUGAAAGCAUCUAAGCACGAAACUUGCCCCGAGAUGAGUUCUCCCUGAGACUUAAAGUCUCCUGAAGGAACGUUGAAGACGACGACGUUGAUAGGCCGGGUGUGUAAGCGCAGCGAUGCGUUGAGCUAACCGGUACUAAUGAACCGUGAGGCUUAACCUUACAACGCCGAAG